CACCCAUCCACGACCUCGCGCCGCCCCUCUCCUCUUCCUCCCGCCUCACCUCUCUCUCUCCUUCCAAACCCUGGACCGCCUCCCUGCCCUGUCGCCGUCGGAUCGUCUCCUUCUCCACCCCUCUCGCUGACGAGGAGCUGGCGCUCGGGGAGGAUGAGGAGAUGGCCGCCUCCUGGGAGCAGCAGGAGGAGGAGGGGCAUGCGGCGCCGGCGACUAAGAAGGCCAGGAACGUAGCCACCGGCGACAAGGAGCCCGAGUUCCUCGGCGAGCCGUCCCCGCUCAGCCGACCAAGAAGGCCAGGAACGUGGUCCCUUCCAUCCAUCCUCCUUCUCACGGCCGUUCCUCCUGGCCGGGAUGAUUUCAUGGUCGUGUUGCAGUUGGUUCCAGUUCUGACCGCACGCCUCGCAUCCGCCGUCUGUCGUCAACUGUUUGCUCGGUUGCCGCCAUGGAAAAGUUAAUUCUUCCUUCUUUUUUUGUCCUUCCAGUUUUCGUGCUGAUGUGCACCUAUACAUGAGCAAUUGAUUUUCUCUAAAAAAUACAUGAUGUUGUUCCAUUCGCUUUCUCUAAUUGAUGUGGUUGAGCAAUUGAUUUUCUCUAAAAAUACAUGAUGUUCUUCCAUUCGCUUUCUGGUCUGAUCCUAAAUAUCAUGUGUAUCAAACUAAUCAUUGAUACUGCAACUGAAGCUAGCUCUUAUGGAGAGAGAAUUACUACACUGCUGUCUGCAUGCGUGUGAAGCUCUUAUGGAGAUAAUUACUUACAUACCAAAACCAUAUAUGAGUCCGCUGUUUAUUAUUGUUCACCAGAAAUGAUGAUAAAUUUGGUAAUUAACUGGUGUCUAUUAAGUGUUAACUUUAUCGAAAAAAUAUUGUGUGUUCCGGGCCUAUGAGUCUUUGUUUUGUUUGUUUUCCAGAGCACACAGUAAAUAAAACAUAGCACAAAGCAGUAGCCUUUGGAGCAGGUUACAGUUUCUAUUUGGAAUUAAAGGAUUUGGAGCAGGCUACAUCUGUGAUGACACAGAUUGGUUAUGCAUGAUCUCUUAGUAAUGAAACUCUUUCCUUGCCUGUACCUAAUCUUGUAUGUUCAAUUCUUUUUCCUUUUGAGUAGAUUUCUAUAUGGAAUACCAUCUAUUUCUAAUGAAUUUUUAUGUUGCUUGCUGCCUUUUUUAAUUAGAUAGAUCCAAUAAUUAUACCAAUGAAUAGAUCUUUUUUGUGACUGAUAUAUGAUUCAAUGAUAUAAAUGCUAUAUAUUUUGUAUCCGAUAUGCAAGGUUACCUGAAUCUCCUCGCAUAUUUUUUUUUUGAAGGAAGAGUGAACGCAGUCCUGAAUGCAGUCAAUAGGCGCACUCCAUUUAGAACAAUGGAAGCAUCAUUAAAUUAACUUGGUUGACAGAUGGUUCAAGCUGCUCGUCGUCUAAUGGAAAGCUUGGCCUAAUCAAAAUAUCUGGGAGGUAGCUAUGGUAGUCUCAUUGUAAUUUCUACUCUACCAUCAAGGUUCUCCAUGAUGAUUGAGAUGAUCGUGACUACUUUACAAGCUUUUGGAAGCUGUGACAGAAGGCAUGGAAACCAUGGGAAGGAGGAGGCAUACCAUUGAUAGUUUGAAUCAAACCAGUAGAGGACACCACCGUCGGUUAUGGUGUCGAGUGACGGAACUGCAGUGAUCUGGCAGUGUGGCUGUUGACCUCCUUAACAUCAUUCACGUUCGUCGCUCUGAACCCACUCAGCAGACAAGCUAAAUCCUUCUGCUUUAUCACGAGGACAACAAUAGUGUUCAUGUGAGCUUGAACUGUGGUGAAUGCGACUGAUGUUUCAACCGCAUACGAAGAUGAAGUUCUUUUUUGUUUCUCGAGUAAUAUUAUCGUAUAUAGGCGUGAUGCCUCUGCAGAGGCGUUUUGGAUCAAUACCUUAUCUUUAUUGUAAAUUAUGUGUGAUCACCACUAUGAGACACCUUUGGAUGGAUUUAUUACUCAAUAGUUAUUGUAAAUUAUGAACAAAUUAUGCUGUAGUUCCAGUGUUAGUUAUCUGAUCUACUAAAUAUGCAUAUGUUAUCCUGUAGUAA